rnacentral:rRNA from 1 species
AUUGAACGCUGGCGGCAUGCUUUACACAUGCAAGUCGAGCGGCAGCGCGGGGGGCAACCCUGGCGGCGAGCGGCGAACGGGUGAGGAAUACAUCGGAACGUGCCCGAGAGUGGGGGAUAACGCCGCGAAAGCGGCGCUAAUACCGCAUAUUCUCCGAGGAGGAAAGUGGGGGGACCGCAAGGCCUCACGCUCACGGAGCGGCCGAUGUCGGAUUAGCUAGUUGGUGGGGUAAAGGCUUACCAAGGCGACGAUCCGUAGCUGGUCUGAGAGGAUGAUCAGCCACACUGGGACUGAGACACGGCCCAGACUCCUACGGGAGGCAGCAGUGGGGAAUUUUGGACAAUGGGGGCAACCCUGAUCCAGCCAUGCCGCGUGC